ACUGCAUUCCGGAAACACUGUCCAAAAUGUAGCUAAAUCCAGUGGUUUAAACUAGAUUAAAACUCAUUUUCGCUUCUUCCAGAAGGAGGGAUUUUUGAUUUACUCUGCAGCUAAAGAAGAGAUGACGGAAUCAAACAAUGGCUCCAAUAACACUAAACCACAGCAGCAGCCAGACGCUGAUUUCAUUAUGAUGAACUGCCAACCACAUUUCAGUGAAAAAAGGACAUCUAGGAAGAGAACUGAGAGGAAAAUCACACAUUUUUGCAAGAUUUCUUGCAGGAGAUUGAAGUAUCAGAUGGAAACACAGGUGGUGCACCUGGUGAAAAAUCAGUCUCUUGCUGUCCAGCAUGUGCUCCAGUGGAUGACCGGCCAAUCCUAUGUUCCCAUCCUGGUGAAAAGAGACAUUUCAAAAUAACAUGCAAGUUUGACCACGAAUGCUCCACCUCCUCUGUCCUGAUUGGGUGCUGCUCCCUGAAUCCACCUAAUUGCCAGUCAGCAGAGCCCUGUAUAAUGCCUGUGCAGCUGUGUUUUCGGGCCCUCUGGCCGUUUGGACUGCCAUACUUGUGCAGGCUUUCAUGCCUUUUGACGUGUAUGUACAUCUUGUGAGUCUGUGUUCAGACUGCUUGUAGGGGAGAGCUGCCUUUUGUUUUGUGAUCCCCUGUUUUCUCUUGUUUAUGUGUCGUUAGGUAGGUUAUGGUUAUAGGUUGUAUUUUUUUUUUUUUUUUUUUUUUUUUUUUUUUUUUUUUUCUUUGGAGUUAGGUAAUUUCCUCUUAUUUUCGUAUAAGGGAUGUGCUGUUUGUUAUGUUGGCCUUGGCGCUCUCUGAAGCUGACUGUCAGUCUGAACCCAAACUUUACGACUAGCUGAAAGUCAACCUUUUAAAACUACCAUCUUGACUCCUCCUUCACUGUUUUAACUUUUAGUCCCUUCUAUCCCCUAGGCUAGCUUGGGGAUGUAACAAACCUAAAAAAAUGGCAGCUGAUUGCCAUGUAAAACUAAAGUACAAAUUAUUUCAACACUCCAUUGUUUAGGUAGUCGUGUACUCAUCUUGUCAUUAGUUCUACAUUUUGGGGUAAAACCUUGUGUAGGAUUCUAUGUUGAGAGAUACUAAGCAAGUACUUUGUUUGCUUGUCUAAUUGUUAUCUGAAUGUUUCAGCAAAAAUAUCCAGUAUUUGAGAACUUUUAACAGCAUUGACUUUCAAGUCCAUGUUAGGUGUCAGGGUGUCACUGUUGGUUUGACACCUGUUGCAAGAAUCGUAUGUACAGGUUACACCAUGUGACUGAGAAUGUUCCAAAAGAUAAAUUAAAAAAGGUGACCUUUGGUUUUCAUUUUAUUCUUACAGUAAUUUAGAUUAGUGGUAACUGAAAAGCAAGAAUGUAUAAAACAAAUCACCAGCAACAUCUCCCAGAUGUCCUGCAAGUGUCUAAUUUGUUAAUGUCAGAAGACAAGAGUUACCUGCUCACUAAUAUUUUGAAAUUGAACAUUUCAAUAAAAAAAGUCUUUUUA